ACAGGCAGCGGAGCGUGUUGGUUUAAUUCGUUGCUACACGAAGAACCUUACCUGGGUUUGACAUAUAAGUUGUAGGGAACUGAAAAGGGACCGACCCUUCGGGAGCUUAUACAGGUGUUGCAUGGCUGUCGUCAGCUCGUGUCGUGAGAUGUUCGGUUAAGUCCGCUAACGAGCGCAACCCUCGCCGUAUGUUACAAGUGUCAUACGGGACUGCCGGUAAAAAGCCGGAGGAAGGUGAGGAUGAUGUCAAGUCAGCAUGACCUUUAUAUCCAGGGCUACACACACGCUACAAUGGUCUGUACAAUUGGUUGCCAAGCCGCGAGGCGGAGCCAAUCCGUAAAGCAGGCCUCAGUUCAGAUUGCAGUCUGCAACUCGACUGCAUGAAGCCGGAGUUGCUAGUAACCGCAGGUCAGCAAUACUGCGGUGAAUACGUUCCCGGGUCUU
rnacentral:rRNA from 1 species